UGUGACUUGAUGAUCUCUGGAGGUCCCUUCCAACCCCUAACAUCCUAUGAUCCCGACACCUUCACAAAAACAACAAAUAAGCAUUAAAAAGAAACAAACAAACAAACAAACAAAAAAAAACCCAACCACUGCUCAGGGAGAAGAAAGAAGCAUGAAGGAAAGAAAACAAAAUUUAAAAAAAAAAAAAAAGGUAUGUGUGUUUUAAAUAACUUUUUUAAUUGUUGAGGCAGUAAUACUUGGUUCAUGGAACUGCAAUAUACAGAGAGGUGAAAUAAAUAGCUUAUAUAUAUAUAAUAUAUAUAAUAUAGCUGGUUUUAAAAUAUUCCCUUAUCAUUGGUGUACUAGGUCAUCUUGUAGUCACUUGAAUGUAGUUAGCAGCAUUCUCCAGAACUGAGCACAAUGCAGGAUCACGGAGCCGUGACACCUUAUGUCGUCAGAAAGGUUACAGAAGAUCGAUGCGUCGAGAACUCCACGGGAACUCAAUCACUGCGGCACAAACCAUCUUGUCGCGGGGCCGGCGUGCAGCAGACAAUAAAUAGGUGACUGCCAAACCGGCACUUUCCAGGGAGAGCCAGGAUCAGCACAGAACUGGAGGCCAAAAGCUGCUGAGAGUAAGUGCUGAUCCCCAACCACCCGGCAGCAAAAUGCCCACCCUGCUGGGACCCUUUUUCUGAUGCAACCACUGAGUUUGGCUCACAGUUUGACAGAGUUUGGCUCAGUUUGAAGAUCUGGACUAAAAGAUCCAGAACUUAGGUUUCAAUGCAGUAAGCAUCUGGAUUUGGGACUCUAUACAGUACUUGUGACAUGGGAAGGAGUUGCAGCAUUACCCAACAACAUCUUUAAGUUCUUCAUCAUCGAGGACAUUCUUCCCACCUAUAAUCUUCCACCAGAAAACAAGUUUUGUUCUUUAACUACUGAGUUACUGAUGCUGCACCUAGAACACCAUGUUGUUGUGUGCACCAGCACUUUGUGUUUU